AUUGAACGCUGGCGGCAGGCCUAACACAUGCAAGUCGAACGAGUGGCGGACGGGUGAGUAAUGACUGGGAAACUGCCUGAUGGAGGGGGAUAACUACUGGAAACGGUAGCUUAUACCGCAUACAAACAGAUGUGCCCAGAAGGGAUUAUCUUGUUGGGGGGGUAACGGCUCACCAAGGCGAAGAUCCCUAGCUGGUCUGAGAGGAUGAACAGCCACACUGGAACUGAGACACGGUCCAGACCCCUACGGGAGGCAGCAGUGGGGAAUUUUGCACAAUGGGCGCAAGCCUGAUGCAGCCAUGCCGCGUGUAUGAAGAAGGCCUUCGUGUUGUAAAGUACUUUCAGCGGGGAGGCGUUACCCGCAGAAGAAGCACCGGCUAACUCCGUGCCAGCCGCCGCGGUAAUAC
rnacentral:rRNA from 1 species